AAACUUAACAGAACGAAUUUCUAUCGGUACUAUCGAAUAAUUCCUGGCAAUGAAAGACCUUUAACCUGCUAAAAACACCAAAGUCACUAUUAAAUGUGGUAAAUAAAAUCCAACUGCGAUUAAAACUCAACGAGGACACCGCCUCUUCCGAACGGACAAACAUAUAUAUAUGUAUUUCGUUUCAUGUAUACUUCCAUCCGUUAAAAUUUUUUAGCUCUCCCCGCAAAGUAU